rnacentral:lncRNA from 1 species
AAAUGUGAGGCAGUAUACCUCGAAGGGAGUUGAAGCGAGAGAUCUGAUCGGGAGGGAAUUGAGAUGGAUCGGAAAAGUAUUCCUUGAGGCGGAUGGCCUGAUCGUCGCGUCCGUCGUCGAGCAGCUCGUGGAGAAGCUCGAACGCCGACAGCAAGUAAUUUUCUUCCAACAAGAAAUUAACGACGCAAUUGCACAGCGACGAUCUCUCCACGUCCAUUUCAAAUUCUGAAUAUCAAUUCGAUUCACAAUUGAACCCAGUACAUUCUGAUUUUAGGUUCUCGCGAGAUCUAUUCAGCGUGGAAUUACGAACAGGGCAGAGUAAGAAAUUUUCAAUACGGGAGAAUCGUCUCGUAAAUUUAUGACACCGGAGAGGUUGCGAUUGUGAUUGGGUGCUACGUGGGUACAUGGGUUAUGACCGACAUUUAAAUUUGUGAUCAGAUCAGAACUCACAUGGUCAACGCUUGUGAUUGUAAAGUUGCACCACAGAACGGUAUAUUUUACUGAAAUAUUGAAAAUUCCCAGAUAGUUGAAUGGGGAGCUCAUAUCCAAUUACCCUUGAGAAAAUUUUACGAUUUAGCCCUGUUUGAUAUCAAUUUUCCACCUUAAAAUAUUAAAUUUUUUUUACCAUUAUUUUAUUA